rnacentral:rRNA from 1 species
GUGAACGCUGGCGGUAGGCCUAACACAUGCAAGUCGAACGGCAGCACAGUAAGAGCUUGCUCUUACGGGUGGCGAGUGGCGGACGGGUGAGGAAUACAUCGGAAUCUACUUUUUCGUGGGGGAUAACGUAGGGAAACUUACGCUAAUACCGCAUACGACCUACGGGUGAAAGCAGGGGAUCUUCGGACCUUGCGCGAUUGAAUGAGCCGAUGUCGGAUUAGCUAGUUGGCGGGGUAAAGGCCCACCAAGGCGACGAUCCGUAGCUGGUCUGAGAGGAUGAUCAGCCACACUGGAACUGGGACACGGUCCAGACUCCUACGGGAGGCAGCAGUGGGGAAUAUUGGACAAUGGGCGCAAGCCUGAUCCAGCCAUACCGCGUGGGUGAAGAAGGCCUUCGGGUUGUAAAGCCCUUUAGUUGGGAAAGAAAAGCAGCAGGUUAAUACCCCGCUGUUCUGACGGUACCCAAAGAAUAAGCACCGGCUAACUUCGUG